GACGAACGCUGGCGGCAGGCCUAACACAUGCAAGUCGAGCGGAGUGUUGGUCGGGAGAGGAAUGCUAAGGAAUCUGCCUGCUAGUGGGGGAUAGCGUCCGGCAAUGGGCGCUAAUUCCGAAUAAUUUCACACUACCCUAGGUCGGAUUAGGUAGUGGGGGGGGUAAAGGCCUACCAAGGCGACGAUCCGUAACUGGUCAGAGAGGAUGAUCAGUCACACUGGAACUGAGACACGGUCCAGACGCCUACGGGAGGCAGCAGUGGGGAAUAUUGGACAAUGGGCGAAAGCCUGAUCCAGCCAGGCCGCGUGUGUGAAGAAGGUCUUCGGAUUGUAAAGCACUUUAAGUUGGGAGGCGUUACCAGCAGAAUAAGCACCGGCUAACUACGUGCCAGCAGCCGCGGUAAUUC
rnacentral:rRNA from 1 species